CAGUAGCCGCGGUAAUACGGAGGGUGCAAGCGUUAAUCGGAAUUACUGGGCGUAAAGCGUGCGUAGGCGGUUCGUUAAGUCUGUUGUGAAAGCCCCGGGCUCAACCUGGGGAUGGCAAUGGAUACUGGCGAGCCAGAGUGUGUCAGAGGAUGGUGGAAUUCCCGGUGUAGCGGUGAAAUGCGUAGAGAUCGGGAGGAACAUCAGUGGCGAAGGCAGCCCCCUGGGAUAACGCUGACGCUCAUGCACGAAAGCGUGGGGAGCAAACAGGAUUAGAUACCCCAGUAGUCCCUGUCUCUUAUAC
rnacentral:rRNA from 1 species